AUUUAUAUAAUAUAAGAAAUUAUAUUUGACUUCCAAUCAAAAAAUCUAAAGUUUAGUAUAAAUA
rnacentral:tRNA from 1 species